rnacentral:rRNA from 1 species
AUUGAACGCUGGCGGAAUGCUUUACACAUGCAAGUCGAACGGCAGCACGGACUUCGGUCUGGUGGCGAGUGGCGAACGGGUGAGUAAUGUAUCGGAACGUGCCCAGUCGUGGGGGAUAACGUAGUGAAAAUUACGCUAAUACCGCAUACGAUCUAUGGAUGAAAGCGGGGGAUCGCAAGACCUCGCGCGAUUGGAGCGGCCGAUAUCAGAUUAGGUAGUUGGUGGGGUAAAGGCCCACCAGGCCAACGAUCUGUAGCUGGUCUGAGAGGACGACCAGCCACACUGGAACUGAGACACGGUCCAGACUCCUACGGGGGGCAGCAGUGGGGAAUUUUGGACAAUGGGCGAAAGCCUGAUCCAGCCAUUCCGCGUGCAGGAUGAAGGCCCUCGGGUUGUAAACUGCUUUUGUACAGAACGAAAAGGUUUCUACUAAUACUAGGAGCUCAUGACGGUACUGUAAGAAUAAGCACCGGCUAACUACGUGCCAGCCGCCGCGGUAA